UACGUAGGCAGCGAGCGUUGUUCGGAGUUACUGGGCGUAAAGAGCGUGUAGGCGGCCAUGUAGGUCCGGUGUGAAAACUCGAGGCUUAACCUCGAGAUGUCAUCGGAAACCAUUUGGCUAGAGUCCGGAAGAGGAGAGUGGAAUUCCUGGUGUAGCGGUGAAAUGCGCAGAUAUCAGGAAGAACACCAAUGGCGAAAGCAGCUCUCUGGGACGGUACUGACGCUGAGACGCGAAAGCGUGGGGAGCGAACAGG
rnacentral:rRNA from 1 species